AGUUCUUCAUCUCAGACUCCUUGUGCUGGGUUGAUUGUGCAAGCUGCAUUCUUCUCUGCUUGUUUCUUCUGCACGACGGGCGAGCACGAGGUAAAGGUGUUGGUCUGUUUCUUUCUUCUAUCUUUCCAAGUGCCCACCUCUUGCUUUCUUUCUCCUUGUCCCUAGUUGAGGAUGAAUCAGCACGUUGUCUCCACAUGCUUCGAGGUAUCAUCUUCACUUCCCUUAUACGUGAGAGACGAAGCGGAAGCAUAAGAUGAUGAGUACUCGAAAGCAGGUGCUGGCUGGAGAAAGGACAGGGAGAAAGCAUGAUAUGAGAUACUCGUGCUCUCAACCUUUAUGAUAUGAAAUACUUGUGCUCUGGAUGGGUUGUUUGCAGGGGUAUCCCAGGGGAUGAAAAAUACAGAGUGACUUGAGAGGGUUUGUUGGAAAGCCAUUCAGAGAGGAUGAAGGGUUAAGUGAGGCUGAAAGUUGGGUGAGACUGCUUCACUUUGAAGUUCAGCAUUUAUAGAAUUUUCUUAAUGGUUGGGAAGGUAUUGUUCCAUUACUCGUGUCGGCAAGCCUGGGAUAAUUUAACAGUAGUUUUCACGUGCAUUCUGCUUCUCCAAAAAUUUUCGACAGAUUGCGCGUGAUUUACGCAACGCAGAUGUGCAAAUUGACAGAUGCUGACACGUCUCGAUAAAGCAGAGGCCUCUUUAAUAUCCAGAAUUUACGCUUCGAGUUCUGAGCUUCGUUGAGGGCAGAGAUUGCAUGUGACAAAUGCUGACGAGGCUGAGAGAGACAGAUGGUUGGAAUCGGUGCUUCGACAGACUGCCCGUAAUUUUCGCAAAGCUGAGUUGCGUGUGAUGGGUGCUGACGAGGCUAAGACAGUUGACACUCUUUGGUAUCUGGAAUUGGUGGUUUGUGAGCAAGCCCAACUUUUGAGAAAGCUGGCGCCUCUUCAAUCUCCGAAUGGCUUCUUCGAUUUCUGAGCUCACCUCUUCGAUCUCUGAAAUCCCAUCGCGUGCUGA
rnacentral:lncRNA from 1 species